rnacentral:rRNA from 1 species
GGGUUGUGAGGUUAAGCGACUAAGCGUACACGGUGGAUGCCCUGGCAGUCAGAGGCGAUGAAGGACGUGCUAAUCUGCGAUAAGCGCCGGUAAGGUGAUAUGAACCGUUAUAACCGGCGAUUUCCGAAUGGGGAAACCCAGUGUGACUCGUCACACUAUCAUUAACUGAAUCCAUAGGUUAAUGAGGCGAACCGGGGGAACUGAAACAUCUAAGUACCCCGAGGAAAAGAAAUCAACCGAGAUUCCCCCAGUAGCGGCGAGCGAACGGGGAGGAGCCCAGAGCCUGAAUCAGCAUGUGUGUUAGUGGAAGCGUCUGGAAAGGCGCGCGAUACAGGGUGACAGCCCCGUACACAAAAGCGCAUGUGCUGUGAGCUCGAUGAGUAGGGCGGGACACGUGGUAUCCUGUCUGAAUAUGGGGGGACCAUCCUCCAAGGCUAAAUACUCCUGACUGACCGAUAGUGAACCAGUACCGUGAGGGAAAGGCGAAAAGAACCCCGGCGAGGGGAGUGAAAAAGAACCUGAAACCGUGUACGUACAAGCAGUGGGAGCACCCUUUGGGGUGUGACUGCGUACCUUUUGUAUAAUGGGUCAGCGACUUAUAUUCUGUAGCAAGGUUAACCGAAUAGGGGAGCCGGAGGGAAACCGAGUCUUAAUUGGGCGUUAAGUUGCAGGGUAUAGACCCGAAACCCGGUGAUCUAGCCAUGGGCAGGUUGAAGGUUGGGUAACACUAACUGGAGGACCGAACCGACUAAUGUUGAAAAAUUAGCGGAUGACCUGUGGCUGGGGGUGAAAGGCCAAUCAAACCGGGAGAUAGCUGGUUCUCCCCGAAAGCUAUUUAGGUAGCGCCUCGUGAAUUCAUCUCCGGGGGUAGAGCACUGUUUCGGCUAGGGGGCCAUCCCGGCUUACCAACCCGAUGCAAACUGCGAAUACCGGAGAAUGUUAUCACGGGAGACACACGGCGGGUGCUAACGUCCGUCGUGAAGAGGGAAACAACCCAGACCGCCAGCUAAGGUCCCAAAGUCAUGGUUAAGUGGGAAACGAUGUGGGAAGGCCCAGACAGCCAGGAUGUUGGCUUAGAAGCAGCCAUCAUUUAAAGAAAGCGUAAUAGCUCACUGGUCGAGUCGGCCUGCGCGGAAGAUGUAACGGGGCUAAACCAUGCACCGAAGCUGCGGCAGCGAACGUAUCACUUAAAGCGAUUCAGCGGGUUACGAUUGACGGAGCGAAGCGACGUCAAAGCGUAUACAAAGUCGAGUCGGUUUAAGGAUACGUUCGUUGGGUAGGGGAGCGUUCUGUAAGCCUGCGAAGGUGGCCUGUGAGGGUUGCUGGAGGUAUCAGAAGUGCGAAUGCUGACAUAAGUAACGAUAAAGCGGGUGAAAAGCCCGCUCGCCGGAAGACCAAGGGUUCCUGUCCAACGUUAAUCGGGGCAGGGUGAGUCGACCCCUAAGGCGAGGCCGAAAGGCGUAGUCGAUGGGAAACGGGUUAAUAUUCCCGUACUUGGUGUUACUGCGAAGGGGGGACGGAGAAGGCUAUGUUGGCCGGGCGACGGUUGUCCCGGUUUAAGCGUGUAGGUGUGUGUUCCAGGUAAAUCCGGUUCACUUUAACACUGAGGCGUGACGACGAGGCACUACGGUGCUGAAGCAACAAAUGCCCUGCUUCCAGGAAAAGCCUCUAAGCAUCAGGUAACAUCAAAUCGUACCCCAAACCGACACAGGUGGUCAGGUAGAGAAUACCAAGGCGCUUGAGAGAACUCGGGUGAAGGAACUAGGCAAAAUGGUGCCGUAACUUCGGGAGAAGGCACGCUGACAUGUAGGUGAAGUGAUUUACUCACGGAGCUGAAGUCAGUCGAAGAUACCAGCUGGCUGCAACUGUUUAUUAAAAACACAGCACUGUGCAAACACGAAAGUGGACGUAUACGGUGUGACGCCUGCCCGGUGCCGGAAGGUUAAUUGAUGGGGUCAGCGCAAGCGAAGCUCCUGAUCGAAGCCCCGGUAAACGGCGGCCGUAACUAUAACGGUCCUAAGGUAGCGAAAUUCCUUGUCGGGUAAGUUCCGACCUGCACGAAUGGCGUAAUGAUGGCCAGGCUGUCUCCACCCGAGACUCAGUGAAAUUGAACUCGCUGUGAAGAUGCAGUGUACCCGCGGCAAGACGGAAAGACCCCGUGAACCUUUACUAUAGCUUGACACUGAACAUUGAGCCUUGAUGUGUAGGAUAGGUGGGAGGCUUUGAAGUGUGGACGCCAGUCUGCAUGGAGCCGACCUUGAAAUACCACCCUUUAAUGUUUGAUGUUCUAACGUGGACCCGUGAUCCGGGUUGCGGACAGUGUCUGGUGGGUAGUUUGACUGGGGCGGUCUCCUCCUAAAGAGUAACGGAGGAGCACGAAGGUUGGCUAAUCCUGGUCGGACAUCAGGAGGUUAGUGCAAUGGCAUAAGCCAGCUUGACUGCGAGCGUGACGGCGCGAGCAGGUGCGAAAGCAGGUCAUAGUGAUCCGGUGGUUCUGAAUGGAAGGGCCAUCGCUCAACGGAUAAAAGGUACUCCGGGGAUAACAGGCUGAUACCGCCCAAGAGUUCAUAUCGACGGCGGUGUUUGGCACCUCGAUGUCGGCUCAUCACAUCCUGGGGCUGAAGUAGGUCCCAAGGGUAUGGCUGUUCGCCAUUUAAAGUGGUACGCGAGCUGGGUUUAGAACGUCGUGAGACAGUUCGGUCCCUAUCUGCCGUGGGCGCUGGAGAACUGAGGGGGGCUGCUCCUAGUACGAGAGGACCGGAGUGGACGCAUCACUGGUGUUCGGGUUGUCAUGCCAAUGGCACUGCCCGGUAGCUAAAUGCGGAAGAGAUAAGUGCUGAAAGCAUCUAAGCACGAAACUUGCCCCGAGAUGAGUUCUCCCUGAGACUUUAGGUCUCCUGAAGGAACGUUGAAGACGACGACGUUGAUAGGCCGGGUGUGUAAGCGCAGCGAUGCGUUGAGCUAACCGGUACUAAUGAACCGUGAGGCUUAACCUUACAACGCCGAAG